rnacentral:sRNA from 1 species
UCAGCACCUCCCUAGAAUCGACAGCGCCCGCGGUUUGCCGGGAGACUGCUCAGCGUUUUACCGACCUGAAGGAUGAAAAAGAGGACACGUUGACAAUAUCCAAAGACAUCUGGAGAGCCAGAAUUUAGUGACCGAGCCAGAGCCACAGCUAACACUGGAACAGAAGAUCCCCUGACAACGAACAACAAUAACAUCGCUUCUAAGAACUCCAGCAUCAAGGGUUUUGAAAGUGAACAAUGUAUGAAGCCUUGCUAAGGUUCUGCUUACUCUGUGGGUGGAUUGCUUGCAGAGGAAUCAGUCCAAGCCCUGCCUUGAAUUUAUCUAUUGUAUUUAUGUGUAUGAAUGUUUUGCCUAUGUGUAUGUUUGUGAACCAAAUCUGUGUCUGAGGUCUGAAGAGGUUAGAAGAGGAUGUUGGAUCCCCUGGAACUGGAGUUAUAGAUGGUUAUGAGUCACCAUGGAGGUGCUGGAAGCUGAACCCCGGUCCUCUGCAAGAGCAACAAGUGUUCUUAACCCCUGAGCCCUCUCUCCAGCCUUGGAAUCAGUAAACUUCCUAUUGUACCUUUUUUGUAGGCCACAUUAAUAAAAUCAGUUUGUAGGA